rnacentral:rRNA from 1 species
UUCCGGUUGAUCCCGCCGGAGGUUACUGCUAUCGAGAUUCGACUAAGCCAUGCGAGUCGAAUGUUCUUCGUGAACAUGGCGGACUGCUCAGUAACACGUGGACAACCUGCCCUUAGGACGGGGAUAAACCCGGGAAACUGGGUAUAAUACCCGAUAGGUCUCGAUUGCUGGAAUGCAUCGAGAUUUAAAGCUCCGGCGCCUAAGGAUGGGUCUGCGGCCUAUCAGGUAGUAGUGGGUGUAGCGUACCUACUAGCCUACGACGGGUACGGGUUGUGAGAGCAAGAGCCCGGAGAUGGAUUCUGAGACACGAAUCCAGGCCCUACGGGGUGCAGCAGGCGCGAAAACUUUACAAUGCUGGCAACAGCGAUAAGGGAACCUCGAGUGCCAGGUUACAAAUCUGGCUGUCGAGAUGCCUAAAAAGCAUUUCAUAGCAAGGGCCGGGCAAGACCGGUGCCAGCCGCCGCGGUAACACCGGCGGCUCGAGUGGUAACCGUUAUUAUUGGGUCUAAAGGGUCUGUAGCCGGCCGGAUAAGUCUCUUGAGAAAUCUGGCAGCUUAACUGUCAGGCUUUCAGGAGAUACUGUCUGGCUCGAGGCCGGGAGAGGUGAGAGGUACUUCAGGGGUAGGGGUGAAAUCUUGUAAUCCUUGAAGGACCACCAGUGGCGAAGGCGUCUCACCAGAACGGACCUGACGGCAAGGGACGAAAGCUAGGGGCACGAACCGGAUUAGAUACCCGGGUAGUCCUAGCCGUAAACGAUACUCGCUAGGUGUCGGCCACGGUGCGACCGUUGUCGGUGCCGUAGGGAAGCCGUGAAGCGAGCCACCUGGGAAGUACGGCCGCAAGGCUGAAACUUAAAGGAAUUGGCGGGGGAGCACCACAA